rnacentral:misc_RNA from 1 species
GAGAUAACUGAACCAAUUAAAGAGAAGCCUAAAUUAAAAGAAAAUGUCUCUAAACUAAAAGAGGGUAGCAGGGACUCACUAGACUUCCGAAAUAUCAAAUCAUCAGAAUCAUUGAAGUUAAGCAAUGUAAGUCCUGCUGCUGAGGGAAAUCUUGGAAAGCGAAAGGAGCUUGAGGAAAAUGGAUAUUUACUUGACAAUGGGAGGCGGCCUAAUAAAUUUCCAAGGCCUCUGUCUUCCUCUUUCCCAGCUGUUGAA